UGAGUGGUUUGGGCAGCCGUUGCUCGCUUGGUUUCGGUCAAGACGAGGAGAGGAAAGUCCGGGCUCCAUGGGUCAAGGUGGUUGUUAACGGCAACCGGCCGCGAGGCUAGGGAAAGUGCCACAGAAAAUAAACCGCCGCAGGCGCAAGUCAGCGGUAAGGGUGAAACGGUGCGGUAAGAGCGCACCGCGGCCUUGGUGACAAGGCUGGCAGGGUAAACCCCACCUGGAGAAAGACCAAAUAGGGAAGCGUGGUGAUGACCCCACCUUUCGUUUCCGGGUAGGUCGUUCGAGGCUGUCGGCAACGGCAGUCCUAGAGAAAUGGUUGCCUCCCCUUCCUCCGCAAGGAGAUGGGAGACAGAACCCGGCUUACAGAACCACUCACGUC
rnacentral:RNase_P_RNA from 1 species